rnacentral:rRNA from 6 species
CAAGGAAGGCAGCAGGCGCGCAAAUUACCCACUCCCGGCACGGGGAGGUAGUGACGAAAAAUAACGAUACGGGACUCAUCCGAGGCCCCGUAAUCGGAAUGAGUACACUCUAAACCCUUUAACGAGGAUCAAUUGGAGGGCAAGUCUGGUGCCAGCAGCCGCGGUAAUUCCAGCUCCAAUAGCGUAUAUUAAAGUUGUUGCGGUUAAAAAGCUCGUAGUCGAAUCUGUGUCCCGCGCCGCCGGUUCAUCGUUCGCGGUGUUAACUGGCGUGCCGCGGGACGUCCUGCCGGUGGGCUUAGCUCGAGAGGGCGGCCCAACUCAAUCCCGCCGCGGUGCUCUUCAUUGAGUGUCGAGGUGGGCCGGCACGUUUACUUUGAACAAAUUAGAGUGCUUAAAGCAGGCUAAAACUUCGCCUGAAUACUGUGUGCAUGGAAUAAUGGAAUAGGACCUCGGUUCUAUUUUGUUGGUUUUCGGAACCCCGAGGUAAUGAUUAAUAGGAACGGAUGGGGGCAUUCGUAUUGCGACGUUAGAGGUGAAAUUCUUGGAUCGUCGCAAGACGGACAGAAGCGAAAGCAUUUGCCAAAAACGCUUUCAUUGAUCAAGAACGAAAGUUAGAGGUUCGAAGGCGAUCAGAUACCGCCCUAGUUCUAACCAUAAACGAUGCCAGCUAGCGAUCCGCCGACGUUCCUCCGAUGACUCGGCGGGCAGCUUCCGGGAAACCAAAGCUUUUGGGUUCCGGGGGAAGUAUGGUUGCAAAGCUGAAACUUAAAGGAAUUGACGGAAGGGCACCACCAGGAGUGGAGCCUGCGGCUUAAUUUGACUCAACACGGGAAACCUCACCAGGCCCGGACACCGGAAGGAUUGACAGAUUGAGAGCUCUUUCUUGAUUCGGUGGGUGGUGGUGCAUGGCCGUUCUUAGUUGGUGGAGCGAUUUGUCUGGU